AGUAGCCGCGGGAAUACCGAGGGUGCGAGCGUUAAUCGGAUUUACUGGGCGUAAAGCGUGCGUAGGCGGCUUCUUAAGUCGGAUGUGAAAUCCCUGAGCUUAACUUAGGAAUUGCAUUCGAUACUGGGAAGCUAGAGUAUGGGAGAGGAUGGUAGAAUUCCAGGUGUAGCGGUGAAAUGCGUAGAGAUCUGGAGGAAUACCGAUGGCGAAGGCAGCCAUCUGGCCUAAUACUGACGCUGAGGUACGAAAGCAUGGGGAGCAAACAGGAUUAGAUACCCGAGUAGUCCCUGUCUCUUAUACA
rnacentral:rRNA from 1 species